GUAACUAUGUCUAUCCCUACUUUUUCGGUUUUCGAUCAAAAAACUUACAAAUUUUAUCAAAACUUGAGAAAAUACAGCCAAUAAAGGAGUAUUUUUAAUGGAUUUUUCGCAUAAAUUAUGGUUCCAAAAAGAUAUCACUAUUCGAAAAUCAGUCUCGACACUUGGACUGAUUCUCUCGGAUUUCUGGCCUUUCCCAACAUUUCAUUUUGCGGAUUUUGCAAUCUGGCAGCUUGACAAGCGGCGACCCUCGAGAAGAAUGUGUUCGAAAUCCACUCGGAAUACCCUGUAACUUGGCUGCCACAUGUCUGGCCCCAAAAAACGCACGCCACAGAGAGAGAGAGAGGGAGAAUGUUUCGCCGAUCUGUCAGAUCUCUCGGCUAUAUGCCCAUUUUCCACGCUCUCUCUUCUUCGCAGCGAUGCUGAAAAAGCGAAAAUUUUCUGCGGCCGUUCUUCAGUUGAUGUCGCGUUGAUAAGCGGGCAAGAACUUUCGCAAUAAAUUAAAAAAAAAUAAAAAAUUUAAUUUCAAACGCGUAAUCGAAAGAAUUCCCAAAACAAAAUACUUCAAUAUAGUCUAUAGUACAGAGAAGAUAAUCCAAAGCCGUGCAAAUCAAAACAAAUUAUUCGCCGCACGUUGCCCCGAUGCGAAGCGAAAAAAUAGAAAAUUGAAACAUAUAGUAACCAUGAGCUAGGGGCGUGAUUUUUGAGGUAAUCACAACAUGCGUAGCUCAGAACAUUGAUAAGUGUUUAGUGAAGGGAACAAAAAUGUGUCUCAGUUUGCGAAAACUUUGCCAAGC